rnacentral:rRNA from 1 species
GACAAACGCUGGCGGGGUGGCAUGAGACGUGCAAGUCGAACGAGGUGCCAUCGGGCGUUGCUCGAUGGCUACCUAGUGGCGGACGGCUGAGUAACGCGUAGGUGACCUACCCGGAACGUGGGGAAGUAACUGCCCGAAAGGGUAGGGCUAAUACCGCAUGUGGUCGGCGAUUCGAUUCGCCGUCUAAAGGAGCAAUUCGCUUCCGGA